GGGCUUUAGCUCAGGGUUUAGAGCGCACGCCUGAUAAGCGUGAGGUCGGAGGUUCAAGUCCUCCCAAGCCCACCA
rnacentral:tRNA from 1 species